ACGCCCGACUCAAGAAACUACAAAGUAAGUCGACGGGGCCCCGCACAAGCAGCGGAGCGUGUGGUUUAAUUCGAUGCAACACGAAGAACCUUACCAGGGUUUGACAUACAAGUAGUAGGGAAAGGAAACUGGACCGACCCUUCGGGGAGCUUGAACAGGUGCUGCAUGGCUGUCGUCAGCUCGUGUCGUGAGAUGUUCGGUUAAGUCCGCUAACGAGCGCAACCCUCGCUGUGUGUUACAAGUGUCACACGGAACUGCCGGUCAUAAACCGGAGGAAGGUGGGGAUGACGUCAAGUCAGCAUGGCCUUUAUAUCCUGGGCUACACACACGCUACAAUGGGAAGGGACAAUAGGUUGCGAAGCCGCGAGGCGGAGCCAAUCCAGCAAAACUUCCCUCAGUUCAGAUUGCAGGCUGCAACUCGCCUGCAUGAAGUUGGAGUUGCUAGUAAACGCAGGUCAGCCAUACUGCGUUGAAUACGUUCCCGGGGCUU
rnacentral:rRNA from 1 species